rfam:Monodelphis domestica chromosome 2, whole genome shotgun sequence.
CCAAAGGCUCUUUUAAGAGCCACCCACUUUCUCACAGAAUUGCUGU